rnacentral:rRNA from 1 species
AUUGAACGCUGGCGGCAGGCCUAACACAUGCAAGUCGAACGAGUGGCGGACGGGUGAGUAAUGUCUGGGAAACUGCCCGAUGGAGGGGGAUAACUACUGGAAACGGUAGCUAAUACCGCAUACCAUCGGAUGUGCCCCGAUGGGAUUGGCUAGUAGGUGGGGUAACGGCUCACCUAGGCGACGAUCCCUAGCUGGGCUGAGAGGAUGACCAGCCACACUGGAAUGUAGACACGGUCGAGACCCCUACGGGAGGCAGCAGUGUGGAAUAUUGCACAAUGGGCGAAAGCCUGAUGCAGCCAUGCCGCGUGUAUGAAGAAGGCCUUCGGGUUUGAAAGUACUUGCAGCGAGGAGGCGUUACUCGCAGAAGAAGCACUGGCUAACUCCGGGCCAGCCGCCGCGGUAAUAC